rnacentral:lncRNA from 1 species
GUGAAUAAUACUUCGCUUAUGGUUCCUCCUCCAAAUAUUCAGAAUUAGUAUUGCUUUGACCAUCUUUGUCCGAAGAUCGCUCUCAUUUCAAAAGAUGACUGUUCACAGCCAGAGAUUCAGAAUUUCUUUUAUGUGAAUACAAAUUGAUAUUUAUGAAAAAUCCUACAUCUAAAGUACAUCUGCUAGAGUAAUUUUCUAGAAUAUUCCACAAAACUCUAAACAUACCGAACAUUGCAAGGCUUCCCAAGAAGAACUAAUUACAAUGCCCAAAUUAAUAUUUGAAGAAAAUCUUGAAGCAAUGGCUCUGUUCUCAUUUAAAUAUGUGACUACUCUCUUUAUAAUGUGCAAAGCAUUAUAAUAAUUUAUAUAUGUUCCAAGUGAUAUAUUACUGAGUUGAACCUAGAUUCCCCUUCUUUUGUUCUGGGUUCAUAACCUUGCUGUAUUAUCUUCCAUAACUCUAUAGCUUGCUAAUGCAUAAUUCAAGCCUCUCUUAUUGACAAAAGGCAGCAGAAAGAAAGAAUAUUUCAAUGCCACUUUCCCACGUAGAUAGUAUUGCUUUCACUUCAGCUGGUAUAAUUUCCAUACUAAAGCCAAAUCUUUUAAAGCACAUUAAGUAUCAUUUUCAUAGCUUAUUUGCAAUUGAUUCACUGGGACAAAUACAUCUGUUUACCUCCAUCUUCUGAAACUACUUUAUUGCAACUUUUUUGUUGGGUUUUAUUGGGUUUGGAUUUUUUUUUCUUUUUUGAAGUAAGUUUCUUGCCAAAAGAAGAAACUUCAGUUAAAAUAUUAUGCACUAAUGCAUGACAUCAGCUUCACACUAAUCUCUUGAUUUAACUAGAGCUUUGCUUUAGGACUGGUGUCACAGUUUCCCCAGAUACAAGCGCAGAGCGGAACCAUUUUGCCAUCAUCUGGAAAACCCUGUUCUAAUAAAUUCCCUGUGUAAAGUAACUGUAAAAAAGGCAAGUAUCAUGUUCCCAUGCAUCUCUAAGCGGAGCUCAAAUUUGUCCUUACAGUCAGCCAUGCAUCUAUGCAAAAAUCCCACUGAUGUAAAUGCAGUUCCUUUAAAUACACACAGGUGGGAAGGAAAAGAUAGUCCCAUUUUUUUUGCCCAUUUUCCAUGUGGGUGAUGGAUACAGAGAACUCCAGUGGUAUUCAGUCUCGUCUGAGAAAGAGAAUGCCUCCCUCCAAUGGUACAGAAGUGACAAAGGCCUACAGAUAGACUAAUUAAAAACAAUUAAAGGCUCCAAGAAACAGCCAAGUAUCAACCUUUCCUCAUCGUUAUCUGGGUGGGUUAAGACUGUCCAAUUGUUGUGUCUCCACACUCAAUUCAAUGUCCUCUCAUUAGAUCAUUCUUCAAAAGCCGAAAAAAGGACACAUCUUCCUUUUACAG